rnacentral:rRNA from 1 species
CCUUCAUGAAGCCGGAAUUGCUAGUAAUGGCAGGUCAGCAUACUGCCGUGAAUACGUUCCCGGGCCUUGUACACACCGCCCGUCACACCAUGAGAGUUGGGAAUACCCGAAGCCUGUGAGCUAACGUUAAGAGGCAGCAGUCGAAGGUAGAAUCAAUGAUUGGGGUGAAGUCGUAACAAGGUACC